GAGGGCGGCCGCCAUUUUGAAACGAACAGACUCCAAAAGCACGCUCCACUGGGCCUGCCCCUGCGAUCUUAAAACAGAUGUCCGUGAAAUGUGACCCAUGAAUAGCAGUUAUCUGGAGAGAGAGCUCUGAAGCUGAUGAAACCAUUAGAGCCACUGAAGGCACCUGGUAAAUGCGAUGCGGGGAGUACAGAAGAGAGAAUCAGAAACACACCGGCACUCUCAUUCCCAUGAGGCCACUUACAGUGGGUAAAACGUCGCUUGAGAAGAGCGGAUGGGUCUGUGUUCCUGCCUCGCUCAUGCAGCUCAGGCUCAGCAAAAAAACAGCUUCUCUUCUGAGCUGAAACUUACCCAAAAGAAGGAGGAAUAAAAACUUUGGGAAACAAAUGUAACCUUUGGAGCUGCUUGGUAAAUAUUGGAACUGUUUACUAUGGAGGCCCAGAUGUGUCAAAACCAAGAAACAAACAGGAACCAGCAAAAACAGAUGUGAAGACUAGACAUGUAUACAUAUUAACCAUGUAUUACAUAUGCAUAUGUGUGCACACGUGUCACUCAUGUACUGAUUCCCAGAGGGCUGGAUAACUUCGGCCAAGAAAAUUCCCACUGGGGAAGAGACAUCAUCCAUAGGUUAUCCCAAAUAGUUCUAUCUUAGGAGUCCACUUCUCUGAGUCUCUCUUCACGUGAUCAAUCACUUGUUUAGAAAAUAUUUCUCAUGGUCAAUAACAGAAAAUUUUUACAUUAGCUCCACUAGUGAAAUUACCCUCAAAGCAUUUCUUGCACCAAAAGAAACCAGACUCCAUGGCUGCAUCAGCGACUGGGCUAGCCACUCUGGAAACAGGUUCCCAAGCCUUCAAGAGCUGCCAAGCCAUCCCAGAAUAAAGCGCCCCUCCUCACCGAGCAGCAGGCUCUGGUCUGUGCAGCUUCCACAAGGCCUGAUCCCAGGAAAAGCCUUCCUGCUUCCCAGGGACUUCCCCAUUCCUGUCCCCAAAACAACGCCUGAGGCUGUCAGCCUAGAGAAGGGGAAGUCCCCACCACCCCGUCCCAGGAUGCGAGGCAGGAAGACAUUUACCCCACCUGCGGGACAAAAAGAUUAAGGCCCACGGUGUGUAUACAGCCUCGGGCCAAUUACAGUUUUCAAAUUCUCCCACUCCCUCCACUGGCAUUUGUCCUAGAGUGAAAUGUGCCUAAAAUGAAGAGGAGAAAGACAGAGGAUAACAGAAGGGUGUCAGGGAAGGAGUCUUAAAUAUCAGAUGACCCCAAAUCUGACCCUGGUUCUGCAAUAAAGUGUCUAUGUGACCUGAGACCAGUGGCUUCACCAACCGGAACCCCAGUUUCUUCCAUCUGUGGUGAAGCGUUGAACCAAAUGACCUCCUGCUUCUCAGACUCCCAGAGAUGGUCCCUUUCUCAGGCCCCAGGGCCUCCCUCCCUCCAAGGCACCCCUGCAGGUCUGGACAGAGUUGGAGGGUGUGGGGUUGGAACGGCACCUGUGUUUACAAUGGUACAAUCUGCAGUUUACUGUAAUAAAAUCAUUUAAUACAUUCAUAA
ensembl:lncRNA novel transcript